rnacentral:misc_RNA from 1 species
AUUUAAUAAAUAUAAUCCACACGAAGAAAAUCCAAAUCCUUGUGUUUGGUUUUAAAGCAACGCCUACCCUAACGCUCCUGGCACGGAUUAAGUAACUCCCUGCCCCAAACAAUUACUAUCUCAACGGCUAGUUAUAGCCUAAACCCACCUUGCUGCUGCUUCACUCUGCACCACCUUCUUCUUUUUCAGUUUUAUUUUCACCCUUUGCACUUUUUGUUUGUUUUCUUUCCCGAGAAAAUGAAAGUGAAGUGCAAAAUGUUCACUCAGGAAGUUUCCUUAUUCUUCAUCUUCUUCUUUUUUGUUUCAGGGUCUUCUUCCUCAUCCAACAGUGAUUUCGCUGCGUUGCUAUCUUUCAAGGAAUCUUUAUUACAGUCAUCACAAGUUCUUUCCUCUUGGGUUAACUCCAGCAACCCCUGCUUGGACUCGUGGUUUGGCGUUACCUGCAACCCCAUAACCCGGAGAGUUACCCGACUAGUCCUCGAGAAUCUCAACCUCUCCGGCUCUAUUCACCCCCUCGCUCAACUCCCCCAGCUCAGACUUCUCAGCCUCAAGAACAACCGCCUCUACUCUUCCUCCAACCUCAGCUUCUCUUCAUGGCCAAACCUCAAGCUCCUCUACCUCUCUUACAACGGACUUUCUGGAAAAUUCCCGUCUGGUAUAUCACGUCUCCGCCGCCUUCACCGCCUCGACCUCUCUCACAAUUACUUCUCUGGCGAUAUUCCCAUCAAUGAGCUUGCUCUGUUGCCGCACUUGCUGACACUACGACUGGAGGCCAACUCUUUCGCUGGGACUAUCGACUUUGUUAACCCGUUUUCUUCCAUCGUAGAAUUUAAUGUAUCGAAUAACCAUCUAUCCGGCAAAAUUCCAGCAUGGCUAAGCCAUUUCGCGGCGAGUUCGUUCGAUGGGAACGAUCAUCUCUGCGGUGAACCGUUAAGGCGCGAAUGCUUCAAUCAGACUUUGCGGGGCCAGCCCGUACAAUCAGGCAGCGUUAUAAUGGAGAAGAGAGCGAGUAAAUGGUUGGUGUUCAUGAUCGUGGGUAUAGAUGCGGCGGCGAUUGUGGCAGCGAUCGCAACCAUAACGUGCUGUUGUUAUUAUAGGAGGAGGAGAAGAACAAAUAGUGGGACCCACGGAGAAGUUAUAAAGAGGAAAGGUGGGUACCAUCCCCAAAUUGGAGGUUAUUACUACGGCGGUGCUGGCGGCCUCAGGGAAGACGAGGAGAUGGUAGUGUUUGAAGGGUGCAAGGGUUUUAGUGGCGUGGAUGAUCUGUUGAAAUCCUCAGCUGAGUUGUUAGGGAAGAGUUCUGUUGGGACUACUUACAAGGUGGAGACGGACGGCGGAGACGUGGUGGUGGUGAAGAGGGUAAGAGAGAGAAGGCGUAAGAGGGAGGUUUCUGGGUGGCUGAGAAUGGUGGGUGGGGUGAGGCAUAGUAACAUUGUAAGCCUCAGAGCAUACUACAAUUCCAAGGAUGAGAUGCUUUUGGUGUAUGAUUAUCUACCAAAUGGAAGCCUACAUUCUCUGUUACAUGGGAAUAGAGGGCCAGGGAGGACUCCAUUGGACUGGACCACAAGGCUAAAACUAGCUGCAGGUUCUGCACAAGGCCUUGCCUUCUUGCAUGCAUACAAUAAAGCAAAGCUCUUCCAUGGAAACCUCACAUCUUCCAAUAUCUUAGUUGAUCACUUCGGCAAUGCCUGCAUUUCUGAGAUUUGCCUUCGCCAGCUCUUGCACACACCCCCUCCUUUCUCAAACAAUUCCUACAAGGCCCCUGAACUGGCGUCCAACAACAACAAUAACAGUAUCGGGCAUGGAAAUGGAAAGUUCACUCAGAAAUGUGAUGUUUAUAGCUUUGGGGUGAUUUUGCUAGAGAUUCUGACGGGGAAAAUGCCAAAUUGUGAGGGAG